rnacentral:tRNA from 1 species
UAAAUGAAAGCCAAAAUAGCGGCACCUAACUGUUAAUUAGAUUAUUGCACUUAUAUGCUCAUUUAU